CAGCAAAUACUAAGGACACGCCAAGUGAUAUUAGAGCAAUAGCCCACAUUGGCAGUACCAGUCCAAGUACUGUGAAGACAAAAGUAAAAACCAAGCAAACUGUGCAAAGCAUCGCUGAACUCAAGCCUGUAAGGACUCACAGGACCCAUAAGCAGUAAGAACCAAGGUGGUUAAAGGCUGGAAGCAAACACCAGACUGGAGAAAUCCAUCUGCCUCUUCCAUUGGCUGCUUCUCUUGUAGCAGUCAUCUGCAUCUACAAAAGCCAUCUGGUAUCAUCUUCCUACCUAUAACUCCAGGGAAGUGCCAUUUUGAAGGUGGUGAGGGGUCACGGGCAUAUUCAGCAGGAAAUAUCUGCCCACCAACUGUGUACCUUGCAAAAAGCAAUUCAGAGACUUGGAGGAACUCAGAAGGCAAACAUUGAGCCCAUGCUCAGUUUCAAAACCAUGCUGAAGUUCUUUUGAAUGCACUGAAGGUCUGCGUUAGGAGGGAAGGAGGAUUUCUGCAGAGAACAUCCAAAACCUCAGAAAUCAUGAUGAAAUUAAAAAAUAAUGAGAUUUUGCAUAUUUCUGAGAUGCUGUAUCAUUGAGAACUACCAGGAGGGAAAUGUCACUUCGAUAAUUAAGUAAUCGUUCCCUGAAAAGCCCUGAAGGUUAUGUCAAGGAUUGAUGCUUUAUCCAAACAUACAUAUUAAGGAGAAAAGAUUUCUCUUUUUUCCUCCAGACUCCGCAGAGGCUGGGCAAUUGUUGCUCCAGUCUUUUCCAGAUAUGGAGCAGACAUCAACCCCUGAAUGAUUUGCACUCCAAAAUAACAUCUUGGAAGGUCUUAACUGCUGAAAACAUUUGUAUAAGGAUUUUUAUACUAUGAGAUAACAUGUGAAAAUGAAGCCCCAAUGCAUUUUUCAUGUUUGAAGAUUUGUUGCCCAUAAUUCAUGAGCGCUUAGCCCUUGGAGUAGGAAAAGGCUUGAAGAGGGGGAAAGGCUAACAAUAUUUGGAAGAAUUGAUUACAGCUAGAGCUUGUCUGCCUGAGAAGGAGGACUAAGCUUGUGGCGUGCAACCAGGAGACACUGAGACAUGCCAAUGCCCAGCCCAUAGCCCGGGAGCCUUUCCCAGUCAUCCUCAUACUGAGAGCCUUGUUACAUACCUUGCUUCAGAUGGAACCACAACAGAAAACAAGAUUACUCAAGAUAAAGUGUUAAUGAAGCAGUGGUUUGAGCAGUUCAGCCUGCAAGGCACUCUGAGGACUGACUCGCUGUUGCGUGAGCCAAGGACUGUCACUUCAGAAUUCUCUGCAGAGAGCAUAAGUGUGCAGGCAUGGGGACAGAGAAAUAUUUCUUUCCUUACUCUGUUAGAUUAACUCGUUUUUAUUUAUGUACGUUGCAUUUUCGCUGAGAGAAGUGCUGGACCAAGAUCCUUCCUUGAUGCUGGAGAUUCAUGAUUAAAUUCCUUACCCUGCAUGCAUUUGCACAGCACCUUGGCCAAGUUAGCCUCUGUACCUCAGCACCCUCUUCAAAAAAUGGGAAAACUUGCCUGAAAUGCGCAGGCAUCCACAAACACAGUGAUUAUGAGAGUCCCGUUUCCUUCAGACCCAUGAGAUGUAAGCAAAUCCUUAUUUCCAGCAGAGGUCUGUCUCCCAUCCACUUACCAACCAACCUCCCAAUUUUCUGAGGAGACCCAAUCUCUCCGAUGGGGGAAAGCAUGAGUAAUGUGACAUUCCCCAACACAGCAGAGCUCACGGGACAGCAUUUAUUCAGUCCAGUUCAUCCAGCUUCCAUAAUAAACUGCUGAGUCACAAGGCUGCCCUCACAGUUUCCCUGGGGGAUGAGCUCCAGGUGGUCCCAAAGAAAUGAAGGCUGAAAGUAUGUGUGAUGAGGCAAAGAGCUCUGAAAUCUCCUGGUGAAGGCCACAGAGCCUCAAAGUGUGCUGGUGGGGCUCUUGGCAAAGGACUCAGAGGGGGAGCUACAUGACCGCCAUCCCUGGAACACAAUAUGGGGAGGAAGGGAUGCCUGCAGCAAGAUGGCACCGCAAGGUUCAACACAGAGGUCCUCCUUUGAAGUCUUGACUCAAUUUUGCCACGGCCAGAACGUGGCAGUAGCUAUACCUUGUCUUUUACACAUCUAAAAUCCAAGUGAAAAGAGGAAAGGGAAUGGGCACAUUUAAAAACUAAUGUGCAGGCAGUGUUUGAGCGGUGUUACUACUUUCUCCUUAAGUAAGCAGGAGAUGUUAAAAGCUUAAAGAAAUGGAAAGAAGGAAGAAAAAAAAAACAGUUACAUCUACUCCACUGUGAAAGUUUUCAGAAAUGCAAAAUAUCCUGCAAAGUAGGCCAGCGACUAAAUACAGACUAAAUCUUGUAGCGUGCUUCUUUCUGGAGCCCAAAAUACAUCUGGCAUGCUUGGGCACGCUGAGCUAUGCCCCUCCUCACCUAAUCUAGCCCAUGAGCUGUGGUAUUUUGAGUUGUUGCUGGGACAAAAAAGAAAUGGGUGAAAACACAACACAGGAGAGUGACGGACCAUCAGCUUUGCACAAUGUCUGAAAGUCUCCAUCCCAUUUUGCCCUCUUGUAUUUUCUUAAUACGCCUCUGUGAUGCCAAUUGCAAUAAAGCCUGAUCUGCUCAGCACUGGGAGAUCCUCAGCUUCACCUGCAGGACCGAUGUCAUCUCCCCAGCCGGCUGCACCAGACAGAGAGGUUACCCUGUCAGAGCACAGGGCCUUGUGGUGUGUGAUGAGGCCAGGCCUGCAGGGCACCGGGCACCGGGCCCAGGCUACAGUGCACACCUCUGCGGGAUGCUGUGAUGCGUGAAUGUGGAACGACACUGGGGCGAGUCUUCUGGCCACAGGAAGCUGAUCUGGCAUUAAAGGCAAGGUUUUUAGCUAACGUGGCCUCCUUCUGAUCAAUAAUUAGUGUGGCCUUCCUGGGCCUUGUGAAGCAGGCUCUUUCAGUGGACUUAUUAACUUGCAUUCCAAUGUGAAAAACCUGAUUGUUGGAAAUGCUAAGCAUAUCCUCACUGGCAGAUGACCCAGACAGCCCCUGUGAUGUCAGUUUGCCUCUUGCUGACUGUGCUCAGAGUUCCUCCUUCCCGGAGGAAAGGAGUAGAACAGCAGCAAGGUGAGGAGCACCGCAGCUCAUUGUGAGCGACAAGCAGAUGGGCAGGAAAAGUCAGGAAGCGAGACGCGGGAGAUCAUUUCAGGACAUGUUUAUAUGUGGGCACUUACUAAGAGAGCUAUUCUGGAAACUAUUCACAAUACAUUACUAAGCGUAGGCAAGUUUUUUGGUGAAAAAUUAACAGGAAAUUGGAAAUAUGAUGUUGUCAGUUCUUAUUUUUUUAGCCAAACAGAUUGCUGCUGGAGAGAAAGCAAAACCUAACAACAGCGACGAAUAGUUAAACAAAUGCUAAGGACUAGGUUCAAAGUCUGAUGAAGCGAUCCCAGUGCAUUACCCACCAGCAGUCCAGCUGGGUGACAGAGAGGAACAAACAGAGACCCGAUAAAUGCUCUUUCAUCUUCCCUCUCCUGAAAAUUAGGAGAGAAUCCACUGCAUUCACGUGAAACAUUAAAAUGUACACAAAUCACACUGCACGCAACCCUUCUGCCAUCAGCAGCUGCCCCAUGCUGGAGUUUAAAGCUUCGCCCUGAUAUAGACAGGAUGGGGAUUCAGUGGGUUUCCAUUUUCAACUCUUGUUUUGUUGUUGUUGUUGUUGUUUCCAGUGUUGAUCAUGUAUGAGCAAAAAUGUCAAGGCAGCAGCUAAUGUGGCAUUUCUAAAGACAACCAUUACAAGAACUCCACUUUGCAUUGUGACAGGAGAUACAGGGGAGGACAAUUUCUUCUCCCCUGCAGUGCUCAAAAAAGCAAAUAUUUUGUUAGACUGCUGUGUUUAAUUUGCACCGACAGGACCUUCACUUCUCAUUACUGGUGGCUGAAAAGUCUGUCUCAAACAUUUACCACACUGGGGCUUUCAGGAGUUUAUUCCAUCCCAUCCAACUGUGUGCUGUUCUUUACAUAAGAUGCAUUUGUCAAGCUUGCCACCUAUGUAUAUAUAAGUGCAGAGAUCUUCUAAAUUCACAAUAGCUCAGGCAUUGUAGCCUAUUGGUACUAAAUACAGCACUGCACAGAAAUCACACAUGAUUUAUAAGCAAAGCUCUUGACAGUUCACAAAAAUAAUUCUUAUCUUUUCUAGUUCCUGCUUGGGCCAUAAGACUCACAAAGUAUCUGUUUUAGGUUACUAAUAUUACAUCUGUGAUAUGGAAGGUGGUACAAUUUGAGCCGUUCGAGACUAAGAACAUCCCUAUAUGGCUCUAAAUUACACGGACAGGACUUGUCACAAGGCCAAGCGUGAUGCAAGUUUCAUGCUCCAGGACACAAAAACCACCGCUUUACUUUUAAAAAUCAAUUACCAUGUACUCAGAUGCAGUUCUAUAUCAAUCAGUUCCUAUUUUAACACAGUCGCUAUGUGUUUGUGCAUACUUGGCACUACUGCUCGAUAUGGAAACGGCAUUGAAGUUCACUGUUUUCCAGGGGCUCCUAUCAAGUUUAACAUUGCUGAGAGGGACUGUCACCUUCAGCUCCCAAAACGUGCAGAGGAUGCUAUGUUUUCCUAGACCCCAGUGACCUCUGUUCCCACUACCAACAGGCCAAAAAUGCAGAUAAAAUAUUUAGUGUGAGAUCGUGUUGCCGAAAACAUUCUCUAAAGUGAUAGAGAACAGUCAUGCACGAGCAGUAAUUCUACAGACCACUGAAGUAAGCUAGGCAAGGUAUCAACAAGUCCUCAUUCACCUGUUGAUAAAGAUAUUUUUAUGUACUGAAGAACAGUUUUAUCUUUCAGUGCCUGAGCAAAGUCUUUCUAACAUGCAAAUAGCUUCUAUGAUUCUGCACAAGAGAUUUCCAAGAUCUGUUCAGAGAAAACAAACAAGUGCUUUGAGGAUAUUUAAACUACAUUUUAGAAAAGAAAGCCAUGCACGGAAACCUUUAUAACUCACCCAAUACUUAAAAGUUGUUUCAAGAGAAACAGGAGCUGAGUUCUCCCAGCAGCAUGCCUUCCUGAUUGUAAAUAGAGGCUGAAGUCUAAAAUAGAUAGCCUAUCAUUCAGCACAGCCACAUCUGAACAUGCAAACUUCCAGAGGGUAUAAAGAGUGCUGCGACUUACACAGGCAGUCCUCGGAUAGAAUUCCCUCCAGCACAGGGGAGCCCGCAAACACAGCUCCGAGAAGCAUCAGCGCGAGUCCAGAGCCGUGUUCAGGAGGUGGAAAUCUGCCUCCUCUUAAGCAAAGAAUUCUGCUGGGGGUGGGCACUGAUAAAACACAACACUGCGUCACAAUUGCACUCGUUAGGCAAACCAAUCCAAGGAAGCUCAUAUUAAAACAACAAAACGCUCUCUCUCUCUCUCUCUCUCCUUUUCCCCCCAGGCAAAGGCAUAAACCAGAUAGUGAACUUCCUUUUUAUUUUGUUAAAUCUCUUACCACGAGCAGUGACCACUGGGCAUUCUGGGGUGAUCGGGUGGGCUCUCCUUUUUGCAAGCACACUGAGUCUACGCUUAAUGUAAAGGGUGAAAGAGCAAGAAAGUAUGCACAUCCGAUUGAGGAAAGAUGUUGCAUGUUCGUUACUUUAUCCAUGUCGGCAGAGGUCUCACAGGCUAUGCAGACUGCAGAAAGCUGAAGAUGUGCAUGAGUGCGGGCUGGAGCAAUGCCUAAGCAAGCAACCUCACUUACAAAAGUUCAGCCUUGAUUACACAGUCAGAAUUCCUUGAACCACCUUCCUCAGAGUGGGAAAACGCGUACGUUUACUUCAAGGAUAUACCAGGCUUCUGGUUUAUAAGUAAAUGGCGUUUCAAACUUAAUGCUUUUAGUAAACUUUUAGGUUUGACUCCAUUCUGAAUCAAUGGCAUCACAUUCAAACAUAACAAACUCAAAUUUGCCAUGCCCUCCACACCUGGGAAAAAUGAAAUCGCCGAUUUAAAUCUGCAAACAUAAGAGUUGGAAAAUUUAUUCUUACCUCAUCUAGUUUUUCAAGUCUGAAUAAAGCCAUAGUGUUACUUAACAAGGAGGUAAAGGAUUUCCAAACUGAGCUCAGCUGCAGAUCACAGUCAGGAAUAAUUUGGUAAAUCUGAAAAGUGGUUUAUAUCUGUUAGAAAAACUCACGUGCAUUAGUAAACCUACAUCAUCUUCUACAGAGAAUUAGGGCAAAUCUCCAGUUGGAAAUCUAUAAUGCAGAAAUGGCAUUACAACUUUCCAAUUAAAAAAA